rnacentral:rRNA from 1 species
GAUGAACGCUGGCGGCGUGCCUAAUACAUGCAAGUCGAGCGAACAGACGAGGAGCUUGCUCCUCUGACGUUAGCGGCGGACGGGUGAGUAACACGUGGAUAACCUACCUAUAAGACUGGGAUAACUUCGGGAAACCGGAGCUAAUACCGGAUAAUAUAUUGAACCGCAUGGUUCAAUAGUGAAAGACGGUUUUGCUGUCACUUAUAGAUGGAUCCGCGCCGCAUUAGCUAGUUGGUAAGGUAACGGCUUACCAAGGCAACGAUGCGUAGCCGACCUGAGAGGGUGAUCGGCCACACUGGAACUGAGACACGGUCCAGACUCCUACGGGAGGCAGCAGUAGGGAAUCUUCCGCAAUGGGCGAGAGCCUGACGGAGCAACGCCGCGUGAGUGAUGAAGGUCUUCGGAUCGUAAAACUCUGUUAGUAGGGAAGAACAAAUGUGUAAGUAACUAUGCACGUCUUGACGGUACCUAAUCAGAAAGCCACGGCUAACUACGUG